rnacentral:rRNA from 1 species
GACGUAGGGUGCAAGCGUUGUCCGGAUUUACUGGGCGUAAAGAGCGCGUAGGCGGCUCAUUAAGUGUGAAGUGAAAUCUCCAGGGCUCAACCCGGAAACUGCUUCGCAUACUGAUGAGCUUGAGGAAUGCAGAGGUUAGUGGAAUUCCUGGUGUAGCGGUGAAAUGCGUUGAUAUCAGGAGGAAUACCGGUGGCGAAGGCGGCAUCCUGGACCGGCAUUGACGCCGAGGAGCGAAAGCUAGGGGAGCAAACGGG